AACGAACGCUGGCGGCAGGCCUAACACAUGCAAGUCGAGCGAGGACUUCGGUCCUAGCGGCGGACGGGUGAGUAACGCGUGGGAACGUGCCCUUUGCUACGGAAUAGCCCCGGGAAACUGGGAGUAAUACCGUAUGUGCCCUUCGGGGGAAAGAUUUAUCGGCAAAGGAUCGGCCCGCGUUGGAUUAGGUAGUUGGUGGGGUAAUGGCCUACCAAGCCGACGAUCCAUAGCUGGUUUGAGAGGAUGAUCAGCCACACUGGGACUGAGACACGGCCCAGACUCCUACGGGAGGCAGCAGUGGGGAAUCUUAGACAAUGGGGGAAACCUUGAUCUAGCCAUGCCGCGUGAGCGAUGAAGGCCUUAGGGUUGUAAAGCUCUUUCAGUGGGGAAGAUAAUGACGGUACCCACAGAAGAAGCCCCGGCAAACUCUGUGCCAGCAGCCGCCGUAAUAC
rnacentral:rRNA from 1 species